GUGCUCACUUCAGCAGCAUAAAUACUAAUAUUAGAACAAUACAGAUAAAAUUGGCAUGACUUCUGCCAAGGAUUACAUGUUAAGUCAUGAAGCAUUCCAUAGUUUU
ensembl:snRNA U6 U6 spliceosomal RNA